CUAAAAAAAAGAGAGAUGACUAUGAAGACAUUUUGGAAGAGAGGAGGAACUCCAGCGACUUGAAAUAUGCAUUCGGGUGCUAUUCACCGGUUCUUUACAAGGGACUCACUCCCUGCAACGCAAACAUGCUCAAGAAUAUUGUCUAUUCUGAUCAGCUACGCUAUGUGAUUAAUCAGGUGUCACAAGAGUCUGGCGAAGCCCCUGACAUCAGCCAGGAAGAGUCCUGUGUCAUUCUGGAGGAGAUGGCCUACCGGCUCCAGAUCAGCACCGUCCACUGCUUUGCCUUCACCCUCAGCAAGGACUUCAAAACGAUCUUGCAACAUGUCUGUAUUAACAUGUAUUAUUAAUUAGUCUGAGGUCUGUUAUGAAUCUAAUGCAAAGUAGUACAACAUUAAGGAUUAUGGGGCAUGUGGGAUAUUAACUAUUUUCCCUGUUAAUAAAGUUAAUUCAUAUUCA